rnacentral:snRNA from 1 species
GGGUUCUACUGAUCUAGCUCGCUCGGAGGGUAUCUGCUUUCUCCCUCACCAGGGCCCCAUGGGUGUCCCUCCUGAAGCUGUGUCUUGGUGGAGGAGGAAGGCCUUCUCUGAGAGAGGACAGAUCUUCCACCGAGGGACACACAGGUCGCUGCACUCCCGUGCCGGAACCUUCAAACAAGCUCUGAAGGGUGGAAACCAGCUGGUUAACAAUGUUAUGGUAAUAACAGUAAAGAUUUGUUUGG